UUGAAUGUCCUCAGAUGACUUUCGGCAGACUCUAGAGAAUCUUCCCGAAGAUCAUGCCCAAGAAGCCAGCAGAGGAAGGAAAUGAUUAGAAGGGAGUGCCAGAAGCAUCUGCCCCACAAAACGAUCCGAAGCAGCUGUGCCCACCCAGGAAAAGCAAAUACCUCUAGAAGAUUCACAAGAGAUCUGGACCCAAAAGGGGGAAACAUGCCUGGACCCACAGACUGCGUGAGAGAAAGCAGCUGGUGAUUUAUGAAGAGAUCAGCGACCCUGAGGAAGAUGACGAGUAA
rnacentral:lncRNA from 1 species